UUUAACGCAAUAUAAUACAACUUUCAGCAACGGAUCUCUUGGCUCUCGCAUCGAUGAAGAACGCAGCGAAAUGCGAUAAGUAAUGUGAAUUGCAGAAUUCAGUGAAUCAUCGAAUCUUUGAACGCACCUUGCGCCCUUUGGCUAUUCCGAAGGGCAUGCCUGUUUGAGUAUCAUGAACACCUCAACCCUCAUGGUUUACCAUGUGGGCUUGGACUUUGGGGGUCUUGCUGGAUUGUAGUCAGCUCCCCUUAAAUGAAUCAGCUUGCCAGUGUCUGGUGGCAUCACAGGUGUGAUAAUUAUCUACGCUUGUGGUUUUACAUCAGGUAACCUUCAGAGAUGGGGGUUCACUGGGGCUUACAAAAGGUCUCUCCUUGGUGAGGACAGCUCUUUGAAUGUUUGAUCUCAAAUCAGGUAGGACUACCCGCUGAACUUAAGCAUAUCAAUAAGCGGAGGAAAAGAAACUAACAAGGAUUCCCCU
rnacentral:rRNA from 1 species